rnacentral:rRNA from 1 species
UACAGAGGUCUCAAGCGUUGUUCGGAUUCAUUGGGCGUAAAGGGUGCGUAGGCGGCGCGGUAAGUCGGGUGUGAAAUCCCUCGGCCCAACCGAGGAACUGCGCCCGAGACUGCUUCUCUUGAGUCCCGGAGAGGAAGGUGGAAUUCCCGGUGUAGCGGUGAAAUGUGUAGAGAUCGGGAGGAACACCGGUGGCGAAGGCGGCCUUCUGGACGGUGACUGACGCUGAGGCGCGAAAGCGUGGGGAGCAAACGGG